GUAGGGAAUCUUCCACAAUGGGCGAAAGCCUGAUGGAGCAACGCCGCGUGUGUGAUGAAGGGUUUCGGCUCGUAAAACACUGUUGUAAGAGAAGAAUGACAUUGAGAGUAACUGUUCAAUGUGUGACGGUAUCUUACCAGAAAGGAACGGCUAAAUACGUGCUAG
rnacentral:rRNA from 1 species